UACGUACGGUGCAAGCGUUAUCCGGAUUCACUGGGUUUAAAGGGUGCGUAGGUGGGCAGGUAAGUCAGUGGUGAAAUCUCCGAGCUUAACUCGGAAACUGCCGUUGAUACUAUUUGUCUUGAAUAUUGUGGAGGUAAGCGGAAUAUGUCAUGUAGCGGUGAAAUGCUUAGAUAUGACAUAGAACACCAAUUGCGAAGGCAGCUUACUACACAACGAUUGACGCUGAGGCACGAAAGCGUGGGGAUCAAACAGG
rnacentral:rRNA from 1 species